CAUACUUCCACCCCUGUGACAAAGGGCCACGUGGGAAGGAAUGAAGUCAGCAUUUUUCCACCCUAGUGAGUUUGGAGCCCUGAGUGUUCUCUUAAGAUGUCUUAACAUCUCUGAGAACAUUCCUAGUGAAGAACAAUCUCUUCUCCUCAGACGUUUU